AUCUCUGGUUGGAGAUCUCUCCUUUGUGGAGUCUUUCCUGUGAGCCUGGAUCUUCAGAAGUAGAAAAUCAACUCUGCUCUUGCCUGACCUUCUCACCUGCUUCCCGUUUUAUCCUCUCAUGGAUGCAACUUUCCCUGUAGGAAAAAGUUUUAGUGUUGUCCCAGAUGCACUUCACAGCCAAAGGAUCUGUUGUUGCUCCUAUAAUGAGGAGUUUCGCCUCUUCCCCUAACCUCGAUUGGGCAGGGUGCCUGUGAACAGCACAGAGUACAAGGAAAGGAAGCAGCCCAAGUAUCCUCAUUCAGUAAGGCACAGCGGCGGGAGCCACCUGCGGAUACGGCUGGGGGCACACAAGAGGAUGGGUAUAUCCUCCACAUACCAGCUGUCCCUUGCGAACCAGCCUCCUCUUCACCCUCCUCUGAAUGCCACAAGCUAGCUUUUUAGUUUAAUGAUCUUUUAAAAAAAUGGUUUAUUUAAAAGAGAAAAACUUCCUGCGAAUAAUUAACUGCC
ensembl:lncRNA